rnacentral:rRNA from 1 species
UCGAGGGGUAACAGGGAAAAGCUUGCUUUUCCGCUGACGACCGGCGCACGGGUGCGUAACACGUAUGCAACCUACCUCUUACUGAGGAAUAGCCCAGAGAAAUUUGGAUUAAUACCUCAUAACACCACAAGAUCGCAUGAUCUAAUGGUUAAAGGUUACGGUAAGAGAUGGGCAUGCGGCCUAUUAGUUUGUUGGUGAGGUAAUGGCUCACCAAGACUACGAUGGGUAGGGGGUCUGAGAGGACUAUCCCCCACACUGGUACUGAGACACGGACCAGACUCCUACGGGAGGCAGCAGUGAGGAAUAUUGCGCAAUGGACGAAAGUCUGACGCAGCCAUGCCGCGUGAAGGAUGACGGCGCUACGCGUUGUAAACUUCUUUUAUAUACCAAGAAACCUUCGGACGUGUCCGAAGCUGACGGUAGUAUAUGAAUA